GCAAAGUGUGUGUGCAGGAGAGGAGUCGAGCAGAGAGAGCUGUUUUUUCAUAAAACGGGAGUAAAGUAGUGAACUUAGAGGAGAGAAACAAACUGAAGUAUCGAUCAUAUACCACUACCAACGUUUGGAUCGAUAUCUGCAUCGAUCUGCCCACCCUUGUCUCCUGGAUCGUAGCUGAGAUCAGCGUGAACCACGUGGGUCUCUUCUCCCUGAUCUGCUUCCGGGGUUUGGAAAGAGUUCCAGCUUCAUCACGGAGUUUCUCUCGGUUUGUGGCCUCAUCUAAAGGGAUAAAUUACAUAUCUAUACAUUUUAUGUCCCAGCUAAGUAACAAGUCUGGUGGAGCAGCAGAGGAACAAUUUCGGCCAUUUGGACUCAGCUCAGCCACUACAGAGGAAACAAUGACUUCAACACAAAAGGAGCUACAUUCACAAACAAAAACCACAGAAGUUACAAGAAAAUACAAAGAUCAUUUUUUAUCAGCACACAUUGAAACAACAAUAUCAUCAGUUGGACUCAGAAUU